rnacentral:rRNA from 1 species
UGUUAAUAAUUUAUAUAAAAUAUUUUGAUGAAUAUUUAUAUAAUAUUAACAUAAUUCAUAUUACUAUUUUUUUUUUUAGUAUAUGAAAUUUUACUUUGAGAAAAUUAGAGUGCUUAAAGCAGGCAUAUGCCUUGAAUACUCCAGCAUGGAAUAAUAUUAAAGAUUUUUAUCUUUUUUAUUGGUUCUAAGAUAAGAAUAAUGAUUAAUAGGGACAGUUGGGGGCAUUUGUAUUUAACAGUCAGAGGUGAAAUUCUUAGAUUUGUUAAAGACAAACUGAUGCGAAAGCAUUUGCCAAGGAUGUUUUCAUUAAUCAAGAACGAAAGUUAGGGGAUCGAAGACGAUCAGAUACCGUCGUAGUCUUAACCAUAAACUAUGCCAACUAGAGAUUGGAGGUUGUU